GACAUGCUUGUGGCUUCUGUGGACACUUCAGCAACUAUGAUUGACUGGGCAUUCUCAGAACUGAUAAAAAAUCCACGGGUUAUGAAGAAACUGCAAAAAGAACUAGAAGAAGUAGUGGGAAAGCAAAGGAUGGUGGAGGAAUCAGACUUGGAGAGGUUGGAGUACCUAGACAUGGUUGUGAAGGAAACCUUGCGGCUCCAUCCAGCGGGUCCUCUGAUGAUCCCUCAUGAGGCCACGGAGGACUGCGUUGUGAAUGGCUUCCACAUACCAAAGAAAUCACAUGUUAUAAUCAAUGUAUGGGCCAUUGGUCGAGACCCAGAAGCUUGGACCGAUGCAGAAAAGUUUUACCCGGAGAGGUUUGUUGGCAGUGACAUAGAUGUUCGGGGCCGCGACUUCCAGCUUAUUCCUUUUGGCACUGGCCGCAGAAGCUGCCCUGGAAUGCAAUUAGGGCUGACUGUGGUGCGGCUGGUGGUUGCGCAGCUGCUGCAUUGCUUUGAUUGGGAACUUCCCAAAUGGAAUAUUGCCAUCUGAAGUGGACAUGACAGAAGAGUUUGGUCUCGUACUCUGCAGGUCCAAGCAUCUACUAGCUAUUCCUACAUAUCGCCUUAACAAAUGAAGCUAAAUGUGUCAGUGUCUUGUUUUAGAUCAAAAUAAUGUUCCUUCAGGAUUCUGUGUGCUUUCUUGUUCAUCACACUCUUUAAAGGAUUUUACAAUCUUUUUAAGAGCAAAUAAAUGAGGUAUAUGCCAUUUCUUUUGGAAAACUAGAUAAUUUAUUCCUGUCCGACCGAUGGAAGAAGAAAACAUAUAAAAGCACCGUUAGACUGAUGACUUUGUUUAUACAUAGCACUAGCGAUUCAUAGACACAGCAUGAUCGUUGCUUAUGCAUAACAAGUGUUAAUAAAUCAGAAGCAAAUCUAGCUGUUUCUCAACUAGGUGUGACUAUGGCCUCCAAAACCAAGGUCAUAGAAAGCAUGAAAAACAGAAGAGUUUAAUAUUUUAUUAAAUAAAUAUUAAAUGAUAAAAUAAAAAAAAUAUUAUUUUAAAAAAAUAAUAAAAAACUAAAACAAUCUUAAGCAAAUCUCAUGAAAGUUCAAACCAAUUACAUGCUGAAGAAUUAAAUCGGGUAAAAAAAUAAACGAAACUCUAAAAAUUAUAUUAGACUACAAAAAACAACAAUAAAAAAGAAUAGAGAUCAAAUUUGACAAAAGCAAAAAAUUAAAUGAGGAUGAAAUCAAAAGAAAAAUAUAAUUUAAUAAAUUAUUCCCAAAAAAAUAUAAUAAAAAAGAAGGGAUUAAAUAAAAAAAAAAGAUGUUUAAAGGUUGACUUGAAAAUUUAGGUGGUAGGGCGCAAACACUGAGAAAAAAAAAGGAAAGAAAGAAGAAAAAAGAGAAAUGAUGGACGGUGACAAAUUUGACUUCUUAUCAGUGCACAUAAAACAUAUUCAGUGAGGAAACAUUGAGACAAAGCUGAAGCCAUCUUGAAAGAGGUUUUUUGGCCUUGGAAUUUCAGCCUCACAUCUUGUUCGAAGAUGGCCGAGCAGCCGUGUCUAUUUUUUUUUUACUUAUUAAAAUGCUCAAAUGACCACACCCCAACCAAUAUAUAUAUAUAUAGAAACAAAUAAUGAAAUGACACAAUUAAAUACUUUUUAACCUAAGAGCUAAAUAUAUGAAUCAAAGGAUGCCAAUGUCUUUACCAUGUCACAAUAUUGAUAAUAAUGAAAAGGCCCUUUAUAUAGUUUUUAUUUUUAUUUAUUACAGGAGUAAAAAGUUAUUUACUAUAUAAUUUUAAUUGAAAAUGAAAAAAUAAGUAAAGCUUAAAAUUUUAUUUCUUAUAAGUGUAGUGUUAUAAAUUCACUGUAAAAAAAACACAAAAAUACAUGUACUGUCUCUAAUCAAUUAUAAAACACCAAAUUAUCACAAUACAAAAACUAUUUUACCCUCAAACACAUCAUAAAGAGCUAUUUUUUUUUUUUUUUUAAGGCCAAGAAGGAGAAUUAUUGUUCCUCUUCACAAUGAACUGUAACUUUGUUUUCUCCAUCUUUUUAGUUUUUUUUAGAAAAAGUAAGGGUUUGUUGGUAAAUAACCAUAAGUUCUUGGGAACUUUUGAGAAAUAAAAUAAACGAAAAGAAAAAAAAGUGAAUUCUUAAGGAAGUGGAACCUUUUGAUCUCGAGUCAGACCAACGACCAUUGUUCAAUGGGUACACUUCGAGAUUAUUUUUCUAAAUUAAAUUUUAGAACCUGACUUGUUAAUUAAAACACCACUAAACUGAUCUUUCAUUAUAUUUUAUAUAUUCUUAAAUUUUUUAUUUGAUUCUUUAUACUAUCGGGUCAAGAUCAUUGUUUUUAAAAUAACUAAUCACAUGUAAUAAGUCAAGUAAGUUGAGCAGAACUAGGACUAACUCAAAUUAAUCUAAUUUUUUUUUAUUUUAUAAAAAAAUAAAAAAAAUAUUAUUUUAAAAAUAUUUUAAUUAGUUUUUUCUAGACUAAUGGGGUUACGGACUAACUCUUUUUAUUGAGUCAUACUGAAUUAAUUUUCUCUAUAUUUUUAUUAAAACCUAUUUGAUAUAAACCCUAGAUCAGAAAUAUUGGGUUAGAUUUUAAAACUAAUUUUGUAGUUCGUUAGUCAUACUUCUAUUCAUUGAACCUAUUAGAAAUUAAUUAAAGGUUAGUUUGAUAAUGCUAUAAUAUGAUGUAUAUUUUAUCUUAAUUAUAAUUUUAAAAAUAUUUAUGUAAUUAAUAUACACUAUAAUUUUAUAUAAAUUCACUGAAACUCUUUAUUAAAAUCUUAUUAAAAAAUAAUUUAUAAUUUUUUUAAACUGCAACCUGCACCCUCAAAACCAGCCAUGAUGCUAUAAAGCACGGAGGAUAAGAUGUCAAGAAAAAAAUAAAAUCCAGGAAGCCCAAAUAAUACAAAUUACAUGAACAUCAAUUUAAUUUAACUUAAACAAAUAAAAGAAAUGGUUAGCUUCUGACAAAUCUAGAAUACCAAAAGCUUACGGCACUUUUGUUACUUUGCACUUAAUUUUAGUCUUUAAUACCAGUAUGCAAAAUAAAAUACAUAACUCAGAGAACAAGAGAACAAGGGGAAUAAAUCAUAAUAAAAACUGUAAAAGCAAUUCAACUUGUUAGAUUUUGGGUUAGCUCCUCAAUUAUCUUGGUGGAGGUGGCGGGUUUUCCUUUUUACACUCUCAUAUGGUGGGUCGUCCUGCUGCUAUUUAGUUUAUUUAUUUAUUUAUUUUAAUUUUAGUUAUGUCAUGUGCUUGAUGAGAUCAGCAGUGAGGGUUUCUUUCAUAUUUUCGUAUUAUACAUGAGGGAAGAAUAAUUUUAGGUUUUUAUUUUAUUUUAUUUAUUUUCCUUUCGUUUUCCAUUUUUAUUUAUGGAUGGAAACAAUAAAUAAUAUAUUACCUUGACUCAAUAGUAUAAAUGAAAUGAAAUGAUAAAAACAAAAAAAAGUUGUUUUAGUUUUCAUUGGCCAAUAAUUCCAGAUUUGAUUGUAUAUAGAAAAAAAAGGAAAGAAUUUAGUAUGUGAAUUUCAUCUAAUCAUAGAUCUAGGAAUUAAUAUGGAUAUCCGGACCAGUUUAUUCGUACCUCAAUUAAUUUCACGAGUUUUAAAAUUAAUGAUCAUGUAAGCUUUCAAUUAUUCUAAGAUCUAUGAGACUCGAACUGAUGAUUUUUUAGGAGCAAACUCAGAACUUGAUUAAUUAAACUAUACCCUUUAGAAUUAUAUCAUCAUCAAUAUUAAUUACACAAGUCUGUGAUGCAAUAGGAUUGGAAAAAUAACAUCAAUUUAUAUGUUCCUAACUAAACUAGAGAAUUAAAAUAAAUAAAUUUAUAUGUGCAUUUUGAAGACAUGGGCUUUACUCUAUGCUCCCCAGACAAAAUAUGUCAAAAGUGGUGCUCUUUUACUUGCAAAUUUUAUCACGCGUCUGCCAAGAUAUAUUUAGAGCCCGUUUGGCUACGCGUUAGAAGUUGUGUUUUUUAAAAAACACAGGAAGCAAAUGUUUGGUUAACAAAAAAAUAUUGCUUACUGUGCAUGGUCCCAGAUCCAAAUCGCGUGAGAAAAGCAGGAAGAUGAAAAGCAUAAAAAUGUUGCUUUCGGGAAAUCCAACCAUGAUACACUGUUCACUGAACAGUGGAGGCAUGUGUCCACUGUUUAGUGAGCAGGGGAGGCAUGCUCCACUGUUCACUGAACAAUGGAGUAUGUAAACAGUGCAAGAAUUGCACUGUUCACGUGAAUUUUUUUUUUUUUCAGUGUUAAUUUUUUUAACAUUUUUUUUUAAAAAACAUUAGUAUAAAGUGAAUUUAUCGCACUGUAAUAUCAAUUUUAUACCUGAUAAUAUUUUAUCUAUGCUCAAAAAAUUAUAAAAAUUGUAGUUCUUAUCAGAUAAAUUUUGUAUGUAAUGAAAUUAUAAAUAGUUUAAUGGAAUAAUAAAAAGUAUUUUUUAUAAAGUAUUUUUUAUUUCAUGAUGUAACAGGAGUAAUUAAUUCUACAAUAUUUAAAUUUAAAACCAUUAAUAUUAAUAUAUAUUUUAAAAUUAUUUUAUAACCUCAAUUUUAAAAGUACUGUUAACCAAACACAUUAAACUGCUUUUUCUUCAACUUCAAUUUCAACCACAGUUUUAACCAAAUACCUAUUUUUUCAAACCAAGCUCAACUAAAAGUACUUUUUAUAAAACAACUUUUUUUAAACCACAACCACAACAGCUACCACAAUACCAAACACACUCUUAGUGGCACAGUAAAAGCCACUUGUCCGAGGCUAAAAGGAUUGUAAAUUUUGGCAUAAAUGCACUAUCAUUCGUAGAUUCCUUAAUUAGUGUAAUGUGGGUCAUUAGUCUUAAUUCGACGCUUAAAAUCUUAAACUGCAUUCCCAUUCACAAAGAAACCUUUUAAAAAUGCGAGAGUGAAAACCAUUUAAUACGUGGUUUAGUGUAAGAGCCUGAGAUUAAAGAAGUUUUUUUUGUUUUUUAUCGUUUUAGGUUCGAGCCCUGUGGUUGAUAAUAUGAUGGCCACUAGAGCUUACAUGGUCUGUAACAGUCUGACUAUACGACUUGAUCAAUGUUAAAAGUUCCCAACAUAUCAUCUUAUUUGAGGGUAAAUUUAUUAUUAUUAUUAUUACCAAAAAUUUGGCAGAGUUUUUUUGCAUUUAGGACAUCCCAAGUUAUCGACUACUAUCAAUUUACUUAAUCAACUCAUCAUCACAAGGUCCCAUAAUUUCGGACCUUACAUCAAACCUAAUAAUUCCACAACUCAUACAAUCCACACAAUAUAUGUAUCCUAUGAGUAAGUUCAAUUUGAAUAUAGUCCAAACAUCAUAUCAUAAAAUUUAAAAGAAAAGGAAACUAUCAUGCAAAGAAAACUUUUACAACAUAAUAAGUGUUCUUAAAUAUUUCAAAAGGAUUAAUUAAAAGAUAACAAAAAUACUACAUACUAAGCAGAACUUUUAUAAAUACAUAAAGGUUUAUACAAAAGUAUACUACAUAAACAUGUUAAUUCUCUUUUGUUUAAGUUAAGUAUUUAUAUAAGCUUCCCAAAGUAAGGUCCUAAACUAAUGAUCUCCCUGGAUAUUUGAUGGACCUGUUACAUAAAUAAACAUACCAUUAUGUUGAUAGAGAAUAUAUAUAUAUAUAUAUAUAUAUAUAUGCUCAUGUAAUGAAUACGAAUGAAGUAUAAAUUUUCUAUCGGAUCCAUAAGAAUUCUAACAGAAAACUUAUAUUUUGCUUGUAAAUCUUUUAAACCCAAUUAACACUCAUUUGUAUAUUCUUAAUUUGAAUACUCUUAUUUACUUGCAUGAACUGGGUGACCUUGCAAAGUCUAAUAUUGAAAUCCUAUCACAGAUGCCAUUAUUCAAAACUAAUCUUGUAAUUCAUAUCCUGACAAUCCUAUCACGAAUGCCAUUAGCCGAAGCUAAUCUUGUAAUUCAUCUCUCGUUAACCCUAUCACGGAUGCCAUUAGCCAAAGCUAAUCUUGUAAAUUACUAGACUUUAUUUACAUUGAACAUGAUAUUUAUUGUAAUUACAUUCACCAAAAUAAUUUUAAAUUGUAUAAGUACAAAUAGAAGGAAAAUCACGCACCUGCUUCGCUUGUCUCGUGACCUUCCCUAACAGAAGAUCCAAUCCUGGUUUCUCUUCUUGAAUUAUAAGGAAGUUUUUCGUUAUGAUUCCUUCAAGUCGAUAUUAUAGAGAAUUCAUAUUCAUCCAUUACUUAUAUGUUACUUACUAUGCAUUUUCAUUUCCUCACAAUAACAUACAUACAUAUAUCAUGUAUAUUUUUAGAGUUAGUAUCUCAAUGUGCAAGCAUUCAUAUGACUAAAUUCUUUUAUAUUCUUAUAUAUAGUAUUCACAUGAAAGUCAACUGUUACUGUCUAACUUUGAACUGUUACUAUUCAAUUUUUAACUGUUACUGUCCAAUUUUCAAUUAUUACUGUUUAACAAUUACUGUCUAAUUUUGAACUGUUACUGUUCAAUUUUCAACUGUUAUUAUCCAACCAUUACUAUUUAACUUUGAACUGUUACUAUCCAAUUUUCAAAUGUUACUGUCCAACUUUGAACUGUUACUGUUCAAUUUUCAAGUGUUACUGUCUGAACACUCAUCAGAUUUUAACUAUAUCUAAAGUUCUAAAACUCCAUUUUAAGUGAGAUUAAUCUUGUUAGAAAACUAAGACACGAGGCUACAAGUUCACUAAAGGGAAGAGAACCCAGUUUUGCCUUUAAGAUAGUCAAAAUUGCCCAUAAACUAAUUAGUCCUACUGCCCUACAUAAUCAAUCACGACUCAGUCUCAGUUGGUAACCCAUAACUGGAGUUCUACAUCUCCAAAUUGAACAAGAUCAGUUUCCUUGUUCAUCUAACAUUCAAAUCAACAAUUUCUAUGAGGAACCCGAUCCUAAUUACCUCAUCCUCCUACCCAAAAUCUCAUUGAAAGUCAGGAGACAAGUCUGUCCAGAGUUGUCUCCCCCUCCCUUUCACCCAAUACUUUUAUAAACUACAUACCACAUACAUAAAUUAACUUAAUCUUAACAACAAGUACUUUUUCCCCAAUUUAUGUCUAAGAACCCUAUCCUAUGAUUCAAUAUCAAGGCAUCAAUGCUUUAUCAAAUUUGAAAUGAUUUUUUUAAGAUCAUGUUUAGAACACCUUACCCGGUACAAAUUAAGAUUUUGAUCUUCAACUCCCUCCUUUCUUUUCUUCUUGUUCAAUCUCUUGGUAAUCCUUUGCUCUCAAGUGUUUAUCCCAUCUAUAAACUCUUAAUCUUGGAUGGGUUCUUGAAAUUUUAGUGUUUUUCUCUUAAUUUCUCAAGAAGGGAUAUAAAACUCCCUAUUUUCUCUUCUUAGGGUUCCUACAGAUUUUUGGUGAGGAGAGAGUAUUUAUACUCUAUAUUUUCUCUUAUUUGCAUUUAGACUCCCCUUUUCCUUUGAGUAUAUUAUUCUCUUCAAUUAAAUCCAACCCUCAACAGUACCGGGUUUAUUAUAAUGUCUCGAAUUAUUUCGCUUAGAAAUUUAUAUUCAAAAAUUCCUGAAUUCCUGUUUUUAUUUAACUAUAUGCAUGAAUUUCUUCACUUUUAUUUAUUUAUUUUCCCGAGGUUUACAUGGUCGUUAACUUUAGGGAUUGGGGGAUUAGUUGAGGUGCGUGCAAGCUGACAUAGACAUCCACGUUAAUAAUAAUAAAAAAAGUGAGACUGAAAGUGUUAAUGCUUCUUCUUUUUGCAUUAGAUAAUUAUAUGUGAUCGUGAUUGUUAUCUAUCUUUUACCCUAGCUCGUGUAUAUACAAUUCUUUUCACUUUCUUCAAUAAUUGAGACUGAAUAAUGGUAUUUUAUUAAUAACUUGCACCUUGUAAUUAUUAAUAUAAUAAAAUAUAAUGAAUACAUAUUUGCAUUUAACAGUAACAAUCCAUGGAUUGAGCACAUCUACAAAAAAUACAAACACAAGGAAAAAAAAAAAGUGCGAGGGCUCACAAAUAAAUCAUCGAAAGCCUUCAAAUAUUUUUAAAAUUUUCUGUUAUCAAAAAGGAAUUCGUUUGAUCAAAUAUCAAAUUAAAAUAGACACAAAAAUUAUAGCCAAGAUUUAAGGGUGUGUUUUUCCGAGCAUACCCUUAGGAAACAUAAUUUGUGCCAAGAUUGGGUUAAAUAUAUAUAUUUAUAUAUAUUUAACAUACAGAGUGACUGUUUACCGUAUGCUCGAUGAAAAAUAGAAAGGAAUCAGAUACUUUUGUAACUGCCACCAAGGCAUUUAUUUUUCAAACCCCGGAGAGAUUUCAAAAAUAGGUGCUCGGACAAAAAGGGGCUGGUGGUGCUCCCUCUCCCUCCUUGUGCUUCACGCGUGUGAAAUACGUUGAUGACCUGUAUAUCUGCUCUGCGGGCUGGCAUGCCAGUUGUCAUACAGACAUUAUUGUUUUCAGCCUGCAACACAAAGGAGGAUAAGAUGUAAGGAAAAAAAUAAAAUCCAGGAAGCCCAAAUAAUAUUAAAUUAGAUGAACAUCAAUUUAAUUUAACUUAAACAAAGAAAAAGAAUGGAAAGGUGUUGGUGGUUAUCUGUGCCGACAAAUCUAGAUUUCCGAAGCUUACGGCACUUUUGCUCCUUUGCACUGAAUUUUAGUCUUUAAUGCUAAUAAAUACGAACUCUGAGACAAGGAAAUAAUAAUAAUACGUUCAAGAAUUUACGUGGUUGACUAAAAAUUAGAUUAAUUUGCUUACGAGAAAAAAUUUACUAUAUAAUAUAAAAAUCAGAAUAAUAUUUUAUUAAUAGAAAAACAAUUAAUAAUUUCUCUUCUAAUAAAAGUAAACAUUCUAGAGCUUCUCUCACAAAUAUCUCAUAUAUUUCAUUGGAUUACUCUCCUUUUGUCUCUCCUAAACGGUGUGUUUUGAAAGGCAUGAGAUGCAACCUAACCUAUUUAUUGUUGGCUGGGCAUCCCAUCCUUCUCCACAGAAAGAAAUGGGGCGCACCGUUUCUAAUUGUUGGUCGACUCUCGGUGCAUUAAAUGUUGGAUAAUAUCAAUUAGCUUUUGUAUUUUUGUCAGAGGCAGCGCAGGCUCGAAAUUACUGAAUUAUAAUCCUUUUUCUCUACUCUAACGUGUGAAAAAAUUACUGAAUUAUAAUUCUUUCAGGCUUCGAUUCCUAAGUCACAAUAUCCAAGUAAAUAAAAGGGUAGAGAUUUUAUACACUUCAAGAACAGCAAGUUAUAGAAUCACAGAUCCAUGGCUUGGAUUUGGACUUCUCUAGCCUUUGUCGCACUUAUCUUUCUGCUCCGGUGGUUAAGCACCGAGAAUAGGAGACUACCGCCUGGUCCAAGAGGGUUUCCAAUUUUUGGAAGUCUUCAUUUGUUAGGGAAGUUCCCUCAUCGAGCUCUUCAUCAGCUUGCUCAAAGAUAUGGCCCCAUCAUGCAUUUGCGGUUAGGCCUGGUGUCGACCAUUGUUGUCUCUUCGCCUGAAGCUGCCGAGUUAUUUCUUAAGACCCAUGACCUUGUUUUUGCCGGUAGACCACCUCGCGAGUCUGCAAGGUACAUCUCUUAUGGACAAAAAGGCAUGGCUUUUGCACAAUACGGUUCGUAUUGGCGCAGCAUGCGUAAGAUGUGCACAGUGGAGUUGCUUAGUAGCUUGAAAGUUGCAUCUUUCAAGGCAAUGAGAAUGGAGGAGCUUGAUCUGUUGAUUAAGUACAUUCAAGAAGCUGCACAGGAACGUGUUGCUGUCGAUCUGAGUGCCAAGGUUUCGUCCCUCAGUGCUGACAUGAGCUGUAGAAUGGUGUUUGGGAAGAAAUAUUUAGAUGAGGAUCUUGAUGAGAGGGGAUUCAAAUCUGUGAUGCAAGAGGUCAUGCAUUUAUCAGGAGCUCCACACUUGGGAGAUUACAUUCCUCAAAUCGCAGCUCUUGAUCUCCAGGGACUGACAAGACGCAUGAAGGCUAUUUCCAAAGUGUUAGAUGUCUUUCUUGACAAGAUUAUUGACGAGCAUGUACACUACCAGGAGAAGGGCAAAAACAAGGACUUUGUUGACGUCAUGCUAAGUUUCAUGAAAUCCGAAGAAAACGAGUACCUCGUUGAUCAAGGCUGUAUGAAAGCCAUAAUGCUGGUAAAUGAACAUUUUAUCUUUUAAUCUUGAUGAAAGAGUUAAACUAACUACACAAUAAUGGUAGCACAUUACUGAUCUAAAUAUCUUUAUGCUCCUGCACAUGACAUUUUGCAGGACAUGCUUGUGGGUUCAGUGGACACUUCAGCAACUGUGAUUGACUGGGCAUUCUCAGAACUGAUAAAAAAUCCACGGGUUAUGAAGAAACUGCAAAAAGAACUAGAAGAAGUAGUGGGAAAGCAAAGGAUGGUGGAGGAAUCAGACUUGGAGAGGUUGGAGUACCUAGACAUGGUUGUGAAGGAAACCUUGCGGCUCCAUCCAGCGGGUCCUCUGAUGAUCCCUCAUGAGGCCACGGAGGACUGCGUUGUGAAUGGCUUCCACAUACCGAAGAAAUCACAUGUUAUAAUCAAUGUAUGGGCCAUUGGUCGAG
rnacentral:lncRNA from 1 species